rnacentral:rRNA from 1 species
AACGCGAAGAACCUUACCUGGGCUUGAACUGCUGGAAGUAGUCUUGAUGAAAGUCGAGACGGACCGUUAAGUCGGAGACCAGCAGAGGUGCUGCAUGGCUGUCGUCAGCUCGUGUCGUGAGAUGUUGGGUUAAGUCCCGCAACGAGCGCAACCCUUACCCUAUGUUGCCACGUCCGUAAAGGACAGCACUCUUAGGGAACUGCCUCGGACAACGGGGAGGAAGGUGGGGAUGACGUCAAGUCACCAUGGCCUUUAUGUCCAGGGCUACACACGUGCUACAAUGGCCGGUACAGCGAGCAGCAAAUCCGCAAGGAGGAGCAAAUCUCUAAAAGCCGGCCCCAGUUCAGAUAGUGGGCUGCAAUUCGCCCACUUGAAGGUGGAAUCGCUAGUAAUCGGGGAUCAGCUGGCCCCGGUGAAUACGUUCCCGGGCCUUGUACACACCGACGCGUA